CGGUGGGGUAGGGCCGGGGGAGUAGCCGUCCCCUGAGCCGGAAGGCUAAUGCCGGGGCCAGUAACCCCUGGGGGCGGUAGCGGGUAGGGAGCUCCCUCUCUCCCUCGGGCCGAUGAUCCUUGGCGCUGGCGGGCCGCCGGUGGGGCAUCCCCGUCCGGAGGGGCGGGGUGAGCCCCUUUACCACCGAAACGGGUCAGGCCCGGAAGGGAGCAGCCCUAAGGUGGACGGUCGGCGCUGCCAGUGUGCUGGGGUGAGCGUCUGAGGGAGAAUGGGGGGCUCCCGAACUCGCUAUCCACCUCGGGGGAGCCCACCG
rnacentral:SRP_RNA from 1 species